AUACUUACCUGGUGGGGAGAUACCGUGAUCACGAAGGUGGUUUUCCCAGGGUGAGGCUGAUCCGUUGCCCUGAGGAUCUGCUGACCCUUGCAAUUUCCCCACAUGGAGGAAUUUCAGCUGCAUAAUUUGUGUCAGUGGGGAUUGCAUUCGCACUUUCCCCU
rnacentral:snRNA from 1 species